AGGCCAUAUCACGUUGAAAGACCCCGGUCCUCGUACGAUCACCGAAGUUAAUCAAUGUCAAGCCUGGUCUGUACCUAGAUGGUUGACCGCUGGAGAAUACCAGGUGCUGUAAU